rnacentral:rRNA from 1 species
GUAGUCAUAUGCUUGUCUCAAAGAUUAAGCCAUGCAUGUCUAAGUAUAAGCAAAUUUAUACCGUGAAACUGCGAAUGGCUCAUUAAAUCAGUUAUCGUUUAUUUGAUAGUACCUUACUACUUGGAUAACCGUGGUAAUUCUAGAGCUAAUACAUGCUAAAAGCCCCGACUUCGGAAGGGGUGUAUUUAUUAGAUUAAAAACCAAUGCCCUUCGGGGCUCUUUGGUGAUUCAUAAUAACUUAACGAAUCGCAUGGCCUUGUGCCGGCGAUGGUUCAUUCAAAUUUCUGCCCUAUCAACUUUCGAUGGUAGUAUAUGGGACUACCAUGGUUUCAACGGGUAACGGGGAAU